UACGAAGGGGGCUAGCGUUGUUCGGAAUUACUGGGCGUAAAGCGUGCGUAGGCGGUCCGCGAAGUCUGAUGUGAAAGCCCCGGGCUCAACCUGGGAACUGCAUUGGAAACUAACGGGCUCGAGUGUGGCAGAGGGGGGUGGAAUUCCACGUGUAGCAGUGAAAUGCGUAGAGAUGUGGAGGAACACCGAUGGCGAAGGCAGCCCCCUGGGCUAACACUGACGCUCAGGCACGAAAGCGUGGGGAGCAAACAGG
rnacentral:rRNA from 1 species